UUUGUUGAAUCAAUGAAGCCCUUUAUUUAUUGUUGCAUAAUACAUUGAACAGGUACAAAUAAAUGAGAACAAAUUGUACAUCGUAGACAUGACAACAAACAAAGGUGUGUUGGGCUCAUUUCUAGAAUUUCCUUUACGAAGGAAAUUAAGGGUUGGCGUCACCGUAUCCCGAUCCAACACCUGCGCCAAUGCCACGGCCACCAUAUUGGCCUUGACCGUUACCACCACCAUUGCCACCAGCAUUAGCAUUUGCGUAUGGUCCUCCAUAGUAAUUAUUAUCAGCGUAGCUAGAGCCAGAACCCGUACCACUACCAGACCCCUGACCAUUGGAUGGCCAAUAACCACCAGCUUGUCCAGCGCCGCCACCAGCACCAGCACCCCCAGCACUGGAUGACCCGCCAUAACUAUAAUAUCUAUUUUGAGAGGUCUGGCUAGAGCCUGAGCCCGUGCCAUAUCCGCUACCAGAUCCCGAUCCACCGUAUUGGCUGUAACCGCCACCACCACCUCCGCCUCCGCCACUUGCAUGAGCACCAUAACGGUUACUGCUACCGGACCCGGCCCCAAUUCCUUCCCCCGCUCCCCCACCAUUCACAUAUCCUCCUCCCUGUCCACUUCCUGUGCCGGAACCUUGGGAACUAGAAUAUCUUUCUACUCUUGCAGCACUGGCUAGUCCAAUGCUUAAAAGAACAACGAACCCAAGAGCUGCAAGCUUAGUGCGUGCCAUUGUUAGCUAACUCUAUGAGCUAUGAGUGCAAGAAACGAUGAGUGUUGGGUGAAGGACUGCAUGGGUAUUUAUAGUGCUUGAGGCCAUAAGCAAUACUAGUUUCUUAACAGCAUCCACGUUAGUCUUUUAGUUGGCAUCUUCAUUAAUUUAGCUAGGGAUCAAGUUGAGGCCUAAAGAACUGUAGCAAUGACACAAAGCUCAUGUACUUCCAGAAAUAAUUUAAUGAACGAACUCACAUUCUAAUUUUUCUCUUGUGUUUAGAGUUUACAUGGCACAGUAUAUCCUAACUAAGUAGUAUUGUUUGACCGAUAAAAUAAACAGCCUAGAUUUAUUACAUAUAUGUAUAUCUAAAUAGUUGCAAGCAUGUGUAUUACUUAUUAUGUGCUAAUCUACCAUCAAACAAUGAGUUGAUAUAAAAUGGAACUGAAAGUAUAUGAUCUAAACAAAGUCCCAAAGUUCAAAUUAAGUUCUAAACCAAUGUUGUAUUGUCUUUAUAUCAAGAGCGCUACUCGCUCCCUGAUAGCUCAAAAUUUUGUUCUUUCACUGUUCUUGGCCAGUGAGAAUUCACAACACUGAGUUUAACUAAUCAUAAUCAUAUUAAGGUCUGGAUAGUCCAGGAGAGAAGAGUUACAUACUCUAUCUUAAAAUAUAAGACGUAACUACCAUUGAUAUAGAUAUCAAGAAAAAAUUAUUAUUUAUAUUUUGUUUGGAUCACCUCAAUGAAUAUGUACAAUGCAUGCACCAAUACAAGAGAUGUUAAGCGAGAAGCACCGGUAAGACUGGUGGGUGCACGACUCCACCUACUAUAUUUUAAACCCUGAGGCCAUAAAUAUUACCCAAAGGUAAGUGGGCUAGAUCGUGGAUAUUCUGCUGGUUUCGUGGGUGUAUGGUGUGGUAUCGUGUGUAGUUUCCAUGUAAUCUCUCUCUAUAUAUAUAAGAGAUAUUAAAUGCGGAAGAUUUAGAAACAAAUUUAGAAAAAAAGAGAUAUGUUAAUUAUUUACAUGUAUAUGUACGCAUAUUAUAUUAUGAAACAUCGGAAAAAAUAGUUGUCUUAUUUUAAGAUGAGUAUGGAGUAAUUAACUCUUAGUUGCACUUCUGACCAGUACUAAUGAUGAAUGAAGUAUAAUAUAGUUACAGCUAGAAGAAUUGACAUCACAGAGACGACUACUUCGAGGCUCUCACAUGGAAGUUGACUUUGACACAUUCAAACAAACUUGUACUGAGUGACAAACUGACUCACUGACAGCUGAUCGACCAGUCGACCACGCACAGAAUACAAGAAAGAAUGGUUGGCUGCGAUCUGGAUGCGGAGAUUGGGAUGAGCGAGAGGCGCUGACAUAAUCAUUUUAGUAAUGUUCCCUUUGUUUUAAAAAAUAUAUACUACUUCCUCUAACAAAAAAAUGUAUGAUACGGAGUAUCAUUGAACUUUUACAUAACAGUUUGAAAAUUCGUUUUAUUCAAAAAUUUAGUAUAAAUACAUAGAAGUAUAAGAGAGAGUUUGAGGAGAGGGGGAUUGAGAAGAUUGAGAAGAUACGCAAAACGAGAUGAGCCAUUAGCGCAUGAUUAAUUGAGUAUUAACUAUUUUAAAUUUCAAAAAUGGAUUAAUAUGAUUUUUUAAAGCAACUUUUCUAUAGAAAAUUUUUGCAAAAAAUACACCGUUUAGUAGUUUGAGAAGCGUGCACACGGAAUACGAUGUCCUUUUCUCACCCAAUCCCCCAGAACUCAUCACAACGAAAGCAGCCUAAGUUAAGAUUGUAGUUUCUUUGCUAAUAAAACAAGUCACGAUAAAAUAAAGAAAAGUCCGAUUUACCCAUAAAAAAUCAUGGUAGAUCAAAUUACCCCUAAACUCGAAACUAGAUAUUUUACACUCUCAACUAUUCAUACCAGACAAAUAACCCUGACCCGAGCUUUUACACAUAACGUCAAUGUGGCAAUCCAGUCAGCAAUAAAAUAAUAAUAAAAAUCAAUGGGGCCAAUUGUCAUCUCUCCCUCAACCCAAUCCCUCUCCUGCACUCACUCUCUCUCUCUCUCCUCGUAUUAGCAUGAGAAUGCGAUGGCAUCAUGACCGACGACGGCGAAGGUGACAGUGGCCUAGCCGGGAUUAGCGACGUCUCGGGCGCUUUCAAUGGAGGAUGAAUCGCUGGACAAGGCUUCUCUCACAAAGACCAUUGGGGCGGUGCGUCCUCGACGCCCGAAGGCAAACCCAUCAGCUCGACCGAUUAUUCCCCACCAUUGAAGUCGGGAGGCAACGCGACAGGUAGCGACGUGGUUGUCGCCACUCAUCAUCGCCCUGUGGUGGUGCUUGCGGUGCGGCGCUCUCCGGUGCCUCCUGUGGUAGUGCAUCCUUCCCUCCGUGCAGGUGAGACAUGAUACGAGGAGGAGCAAAACCAUGGAUACGACCACCACGACAGCCUUGCAUCAUAAUGUCGGCAUCGAUGGCGGUCACGUGUUCCCGCGAUCCGUUCUCACCAGUGGCCCCAUCACUAGCGUACAUCUUUAGCUUAGAAGCGGGCUAGGUGGAGCAACGCGGCGCAGUGGAGGUUGGAAAUGGCACGGUGUUGGUUGGGGACAUGGAGGGCGUGGUGGAGGUUGGGGAUGGGGACGGUGUGGCGGAGGUUGUUGCGUCCUCCGCUAGAAGCACCACUGGCCACCAGGCAGAGCGAAGUGAGGGAGAAGAGAGAGAAAUCAGACUGGGGAGAGAGAUAUUGGGGAAGGAGGAACAAGGAGGAAGAAGAUGCUAACACAUAGGGCCCACUAAAUUUUAAUAUUCUUUAGGCUGAUUGAAUUGCCAUGUAUGUGGCACGUAGAUUAAAAUCGCUCCGGAUUGAGUUAGGGGGUUAUUUGCCCGGUCUAAAGAAUUUGGGGUGUAAAAUGUCUAGUUUUGUAGUUUAUGGGGGUAAUUCGUAGUAGCUCAAUAUAUAGUUCAGUGCUUAAUUCAGAUUUUUUUUUCCUAAAAUAAAUUAUAUUUAUAUAAUUAUUUUGAAUAAAACAAAUGGUCAAAUGUUAUGUAAAAGGUUAUCGACAUCGUAUAUAUAUUUUAGGAUGGAUAGAGUAAGACAUACUCCCUCCGUUUUUUAAUAGAUGACGCCGUUGACUUUUUCUCACAUGUUUAACCAUUCGUCUUAUUCAAAAAAUUUAUGUAAUUAUAAUUUAUUUUGUUAUGAGUUGUUUUAUCACUCAUAGUACUUUAAGUGUGAUUUAUAUCUUAUACAUUUGCAUAAAAUUUUUGAAUAAGACGAAUGGUCAAACAUGUGGAAAAAAGUCAACGGCGUCAUCUAUUAAAAAACGGAUGUAGUAUUUUGUUUCUCCAUAAGGCUUUGACCAACUAUUGAUCUGUUGCAUAUCAUAUAUGUCAUAAAACGCCUAACUAGGGAGUAAGUACUUCUCGAUACAUGAACAUAUGUGUACGAAGAAGGCUUCCGAUGAUUAUAUGCGUACAUAAUAAUUAGGGUGAAUGUACAUUGGGAUCACUGGGUAAAAUAAAUGGAAAUUGCAGAUCGAUUGAUCAUCUGAAUGGCAAAAUAAAUUAACCACUAUAUACCGUACAAUAACAUCAUGUGUCUUGUCGAUCGUCGAUCUCUUUCAGUUAAUUAGCUGUGUGAAUUGUGAGGAGAGGAAAAAAAAUAUCAGUAAUAGUAGUGCUUCAAAUCUAUCGCCCUAGUACAGCACCAAUGCUUCAAUACGUGGGCCGGAUUACUGAAUACAUAAUUGCACUCUAAACUUUAAGCAACACACUACUAGAAAACUAAUUUUCACAGGCGGCCAGAACUAAUUUUCGCAGGGUGGAGAGAGGUCCGCCCGCACCACAACGACUGCGAAAAUCGAUUUUCACAGUCGGGGCAACGGCCUACCUGCGAAAAUGGAAGGGACGAACAAAAAAAAAAUUGCCAGCCCGCGCCGGGAGCCGCCGCCAUCGCUCCACGCCGUCGUCGCCGCCGCCGGCCUCCCCCCCCCCCCCCCCCCCGUUACUCCUCUGGCCAGAUCUAGGAGGGAGGGGGGAGGGGAGCCGCCGCCGCUGCCCGGCCCGCACCGCCGCCCCACGCCGUCACCGCUCCAUGCCGUCGCCGCCCCCGCCGGCCUCCCCCCCUCCCUCCUCCGGCCAGAUCUGGGAGGGAGGGGGGAGGGGAGCCGCCGCCGUGGCCGGGAGCCGUGCCUCCUCGCCGAUGUCGCCCUCUGCCGCCACCGCCCACCGCCGCCGCCGCGCUCCCCCAAGCCCCUCCAAAUCUGGGAGAGACGGGCCGCGCCGCGCCGCCCUCCUCCGUCGCGCUACUCGGCCGCGCCGCCUCGCCUCCUCACCGCUGCCGCCCUCCGCCGCCGGGAGCCGCCGUCGGGGAGAGUAGAAGUGAGGGGAGGGGAGAGGAGGAGAGGUGAGGAGAGGGGAGAGGCCGAUGAGGGGAGGGGAAAGGUGGAGAGAUGUGGAGGGGAGGAGAGGUGUGAGGACUUAGAAAUUAUAUUCCAGUCUAUUUUCGCAGGCGGACCAAUUAAGUGGUGCAGGCACCGCUUAAGUGGUCCGCCUGCGAAAAUAGAUUUUCGCAGGCGGACAUCGAAAAUAGAUUUUCACAGGCGGACAUCGAAUUUCACCCCGAUUUAUAUUUUUGUAGGCGAUCAUUUGGUUCUAAGGGUCAUGUCCGUCUGCGAAAAUAAGACCCCUAUGUCGGAAAAAAUGCUUUUUCUAGUAGUGACAAACAAUAGUGUGUGCAAAAAACCUUCCAAGUAUGCCAUGUAAACAAUGUUCUACUACUAGACACCAUCCUUUUGUCAAAUCUCAAAAACUGCAUGGACGAUGCAAGCUAGAUACUCUCUCCGUCCCAAAAAAAAAACCAACCUCGUACUAUGUCACAUUCUAGUACUAGGUUAUCUGUUUUUUUGGUCAGAGGGAGUAAGCUUGUAGGAGUAUAGGUUAUGCUGAUAAGUACUAAGCAGUUGACUAGCACUUACAUAAUGCAUGUGUGUCCCUGCAUGUGAAAAGUCAGGAUGGAAUUGAAGAACCACAUGAAGCCAUAGCUCUAGACUCUACUCCCUACAUCCCAAAGAAAACCUAAUCCUAGGUUUGAAUCUAGAUAUACACUAUGUCCAGAUUCAAACCGUGUAUGCCCAGAUUCAAAUCUAGGAUUAUAUUUUUAUUUUUGGAACGGAGGGAAUAGUAGUUUUUUUAACAUACUGCUAGCUCUGGCCCUUGCUUCUGUCCUCCAAGGGUAUGAACAAUGGGGAUACUCCCCCAUGCCAAACAGCUGUGCUAUGUGUGAUAAUAUACUCUAAAUACCCUAUCUCUACAUUGUAAAACGUCGUCGAUAAAAACACUGCGCCUUUUUUAUUUGUUGGACCACACCUACACUGUAAAAGACACUGCGCUUUUUUUUAUCGCUUAACCCAAAAGGUCUUUAACCCUGUGUUACUAGCUAGUCGUCGGACUUCAAGCCUUUUAAACCAGUCUAACUCUAUGCAAACUAGCAAGGUGUGUGGUACUAAACUUUGCUAGUUGCUUGCUUGUUAUCUACUAUAUAUAAUUGUUUUGCUACAAGGGGCCCCAAGCCAGUGCAGCCCGGCUAGCUGAAAAAAAUAAUGAGGAAAUGAGAUAGAGAGGGAAUUUAUAUUUACGCGCUUGCUUGAUCAAAUGGUGCAGUAACUGAUAAUGAAUAGAUUUUGGAAUUAAUGGUAAACUAGUGGGUAUAUUGCAGAACCAGACAACAGCUCAAUGGCAUUAUAUAUAGAAGUACUAGCCUAAUCUCGAUAGUGUGAGUAGGUUUUAUCUCCUUUCUACGUGGCAACCGACUAUACACUUGCUAGGCAGAUUACAAGGUCUCAGGAAAUGAGUUUGCAUGAUAUUUUCUAUACACACCACAGAAUACUCCAAUCCAUGUUUUGCUAGACUUUUAGGGCUUCAUGUUUAAUUUGUGUAGUUGUGUGACUGGCUUAUUAUCAGGAUAAUAAUAAUAAUUACAUCAGUCUGACCUAGCGACACAGCUACCAUCUGAAGGUUCCAACAAGUGAGUUGUCAGCAUAUAUAUACAUGGUAAACCAAAUCCUCCUUAGCAUAUACUCCCUCCAUUUCAAAAUGUUUGACACCGUUGACUUUUUAGCACAUGUUUGACCGUUCGUCUUAUUCAAAAAUUUUUAUGAAAUAUGUAAAAUUAUAUGCCUACAUAAAAAUAUAUUUAACAAUGAAUCAAAUGAUAGGAAAAGAAUUAAUAAUUACUUAAAUUUUUUGAAUAAGACGAGCGGUCAAACAUAUGCUAAAAAGUCAACGGCGUCAAACAUUUCGAAACGGAGGGAGUAUAGCCCAAAGAGUUGCAGCUAGUUUCACAUUUGGAAACCUUUCAAGUGCUUAGCACGAAUUAAUUAACUAAGUCCAUAUCAGCAUUCCUUUGAACCUAUAAUUUGAACAUGUUCGAUAGUUUAUUUUAUGAUCCCCUUCUGAAAUUGCUAGCUUGUGUUGGCCCACUUGAAUGGUCCACGUUCAUGGACUAGACCGAUUCCAUCCAUAUAACCAUCGAAUUACCGAGUGGCAUUACACUCUUAACAUAAUAGCUAGAUCUCGAUCUUGGUUAGUUACACACUACAGAAUUUUACUGAAUCAAUGAAGCCCUUUAUUUCUUCUUGCAUAAUACAUUGAACAAGUACAAAUAAAUGAGAACAAAUUGUACAUCAUAGACAUGACAACAAACAAGGUGUGUUGGGCUCCAUUUUCUACAAUUUCCUUUACGUAGGAAAUUAAGGGUUGGCGUCACCGUAUCCCGAUCCAACACCUGCGCCAACGCCACGGCCACCAUAUUGGCCUUGACCAUUACCACCACCAUUGCCACCAGCAUUAGCAUUUGCGUAUGGUCCUCCGUAGUAAUUAUUAGCGGAGCUAGAGCCAUAACCCGUACCACUACCAGACCCAUGACCAUUGGAUGGCCAGUAACCACCAGCUUGUCCGGCACCGCCACCAGCACCAGCGCCGCCAGCACUGGAUGAACCGCCAUAACCAUAAUAUCCAUUUUGAGAGGUCUGGCUAGAGCCUGAGCCCGAGCCAUAUCCGCUACCAGAUCCCGAUCCACCGUAUUGGCUGUAACCACCACCUCCGCCUCCUCCUCCGCCAC
rnacentral:lncRNA from 1 species